rnacentral:rRNA from 1 species
AACGAACGCUGGCGGCAUGCUUAACACAUGCAAGUCGAACGAUGGCUUCGGCCAUAGUGGCGGACGGGUGAGUAGCGCGUGGGAACCUGCCCCGAGGUACGGAAUAACCGCUGGAAACGGCGGCUAAUACCGUAUGAGCCCUGAGGGGGAAAGAUUUAUCGCCUUGGGAGGGGCCCGCGUCCGAUUAGGUAGUUGGUGAGGUAAAGGCUCACCAAGCCUGCGAUCGGUAGCUGGUCUGAGAGGAUGAUCAGCCACACUGGGACUGAGACACGGCCCAGACUUCUACGGGAGGCAGCAGUGGGGAAUAUUGGACAAUGGGGGCAACCCUGAUCCAGCAAUGCCGCGUGAGUGAUGAAGGCCUUCGGGUUGUAAGACUCUUCUACCCACGGCGAUGAUGACGGUAGUGGGAGAAGAAGCCCGGCUAACUUCGUGCCAGCAGCCGCGGUAA